ACUUCAGUGGACAAACAACAGCUCAUCUAUCUUAUGUUACAAAUGGGCCUCAGGCACAUGUUGUACAAGUAUCCAAAGAAAGUGUGACCAGGCUAAUAA